rnacentral:lncRNA from 1 species
CCUACUGCGAAGACCCGGCAGGACCCCUACUGGUUGACCUGACCUGACCUGACCCGGCCCAGUUAAAAUGCAUGAGGACAUCAUCUGUGAUCAAAAUUAACAUGAUAUUCGUGAUCAACACCCCGAAAGCCCCCAUAUCAGCCACACUGCCACACUACGACGUUCUAACAGGUCCCGAUUUUCCCGACUUCUGGGUCUUUGACCUGACCUGGAAGGUCAACCAAUGAACUAGGACCUUAAUAUUGGGUGUCAUCGGUUUCCUCUCGUCACGGGCAACACGCUCGUUUUUUUUUCUGCGAAACUAGCUCAAUCAUAGGCGAAACGGCAAGGGGGGGGGCAACGGGCCCCGCCCCCUUACCUAUACGUUCGCGGCUGGAAAAACACCAAUACGGGCGAGGGUUAAUGUUACUACAAUACGGCGAGGGUUACGGGCGAUGCGCUGAUGUGGGUCCCUUGGAGAUGGCGUGAGGGGCCUCGCAGGUGCCGAUGUGGUGGCUUUUAGAAACACUGGUGUGGGCCGUGGGGCUAUCACAGACGGGUGUGGAGCCAUUGCAGCUGAUCCCUCAUUGGCCGUUACUAGGGCCCUCAGAAGCCGGCAAGGUCUCUCAGAAACCGGCGCAUUGGUCCUUUAUGGAGAUAAGUGUGGCUACAUAGGAGCCCAUCUGACUCAUUGAGUGGUCUCCAGGCCUUGACACAAUUCUAUUCGACCGACCUCCUCGUACAGGAGAUUCUUCUCCGUCUGACAGCCCUCGACCGAGAGGGAACAUCAAUCACUUUUUGCUGGAUCCCUAGUCAUGUUGGUGUUGCUGGCAAUGAGCGGGCGGACGGAUGUAAAAGUUUCAAUGAUACAAGCGGCAAUAUUUAGUGUAUGCACCUCUCACACCUUGACUGCCAAUAACACUUGUUUUCAGGUUGGCGUCAGUCUCCACUAUCCAAUCACAGAUGGAUACCAAACGAGGGCGCAUAGCUGGAUCAUAUGGGAAGAGGAUGCUGCUUGCUGCUCUCCACUCCCGUGGCAGACAUAAAGGCGCGCAGCGUCACUCACGUAAAAAUGGACGAGAGCGAUAUGUAAAGUGGUCUGUGCCCGAAGUGCAGAGACUGCGGGCGAUACUGAAAGCCCGCGGUGGGCGGGUACCCAGUAUGGAUGACCUCAGAGACCUGUACAAGAGGGAGCCGUUCAACGGCCAUAAUCUGAAUGACAUAAGAUGCAAGAUGUACAAACUUAAACAGAAGGCAGAGUGAGCUGCUGGAGCGGCCGGGCCGGGCUGUUCUGGGUUGGGUCCGGACGGGACUUGGGGACCGGCGCCGCCCGCGGCGUCAAAUACAUGUGUCUGCCCGCGCCCCAAUGCCGCCCGCGGCGACAAUACAUGUGUCUGCCCGCGCCCCGAUGCCGCCCGCGGCGACAAUACAUGUGCCUGCCCGCGCCCCGAUGCCGCCCGCGACGUCAGCAGUGCUCUCUGUGGCAGCCAGUGAACAGCCGCCACAUGGCCUAUGUCAGGAUCGCUCGAGGCGCUGCAGUAGGUCCUGCUGGCCGUGUCCGGUGUUUGGUUGUCAAGCUCUGAAGCACCGUUUUUGUUGAGUUUGGUUAUCAAGCUCAGAAGUCAGAGGCACCGUUUUUGCUGCGUGAUACCGAUGGCACGGACGCAUGUACCAUGUUCGGUUGUGUCUCGUGUGCCUGGUGUAAGUCUAGUGAUUGUGUUGAUCCGAUCGAGUCUGUGCUAGGGUCCAGUGGCAGCGCCCGAUGCCGUCGGUCCAUGUGUGGUCGGCAAAGGGUGGCCAGCGGCCUAGCGUACGUCGGAGUCGUGAGCGUCAAGAUGGCGUGUGAAGUGUGUAUGGGUUGUUGUGUAUCUCGAUAACGUGUUUCCUCAUAAUGGUUUCGAUGCUGUAAGUUCUCGUAAGUCCGUUGUCAUCAGUUGUUCUCUGGUGUCCGUCCUUCCCUGUUCGGCACUGGCAGCGGUGCCCGGUGAUAGGGCUGAAUCGGGCCGGGGGCUGGGCUGUGCUGGGUUGGGUCCGGAUGGGACUCGCGGCCCGGAGCCGCCCGCGGCGUCAGUAAGUACAUACAUUGAGUUUUACAUUGAGACAGAAGCACCGUUUUUGUUGAGUGACACCGAUGGCACGGACUUGAGUACCAUGAUCCGUUGUGUGUUGUGUGCCUGGUGUAAGAUUGUGUUGAUCCGAUCGAGUCUGUGCUAGGGUCCAGUGGCAGCGCCCGAUGCCGUCGGUCCAUGUGUGGUCGGCAAAGGGUGGCCAGUCCGGCAGCUGCAUUUUUGUGUCCUUAUUGAAAUACACUGUCAGUCGUCAGAAAA